rnacentral:lncRNA from 1 species
UUUGCCUAUACUUUUGUAAAUAGGUGCUCUAUUAAUCUCUCCUUGACCUGCUUAAUUUGAGAGUAUCACCUCUCUCUCUUUUUGCUGGCAGCAUCCUUAGAGGUCUUUCUGAGACCCCCACAAUGUUGGGCCUUUGCUUGUGAGGGGCAGGGUCACAUCAUUUUCAUUUUUGCUCCCAGCAGAGUGCCUAGACCCACAGUAGGUGGUCAAUACAGUUUGGUGAGAACUUCCUUUCUUUGGCUCUAAAGCAGAGACUAAAAUUCGCAG